UACGGGGGGGGCAAGCGUUGUUCGGAAUUACUGGGCGUAAAGGGCUCGUAGGCGGCCAUGCGUGUCUUCCGUGAAAUCCCUCGGCUUAACUGAGGACGUGCGGAAGAAACUGCAAGGCUCGAGUCCGGGAGAGGGGGGUGGAAUUCCCAGUGUAGCGGUGAAAUGCGUAGAUAUCUGGAGGAACACCGGUGGCGAAGGCGGCAUCCUGGACCAACACUGACGCUGAGGAGCGAAAGCCAGGGGAGCAAACGGG
rnacentral:rRNA from 1 species